GAAAUAUGUGGUUCAAGUGAAAGCUGCUAACUUAUCACUUUAGUGGUUAAAUUCCAUUUAUAUUUCU
rnacentral:tRNA from 1 species